CAGCCGCCGCGGUAAUACGUAGGGUGCAAGCGUUAAUCGGAAUUACUGGGCGUAAAGCGUGCGCAGGCGGUUAUAUAAGACAGAUGUGAAAUCCCCGGGCUCAACCUGGGAACUGCAUUUGUGACUGUAUAGCUAGAGUACGGCAGAGGGGGAUGGAAUUCCGCGUGUAGCAGUGAAAUGCGUAGAUAUGCGGAGGAACACCGAUGGCGAAGGCAAUCCCCAGGGCCUGUACUGACGCUCAUGCACGAAAGCAUGGGGAGCAAACAGGAUUAGAGACCCCCGUAGUCCCUGUCUCUUAUAC
rnacentral:rRNA from 1 species